CGGGUGAGUAACGCGUGGGUAACCUGCCUCAUACAGGGGGAUAACAGUUAGAAAUGACUGCUAAUACCGCAUAAGCGCACAGUGUCACAUGACACAGUGUGAAAAACUCCGGUGGUAUGAGAUGGACCCGCGUCUGAUUAGCUAGUUGGUAGGGUAACGGCCUACCAAGGCGACGAUCAGUAGCCGACCUGAGAGGGUGACCGGCCACAUUGGGACUGAGACACGGCCCAA
rnacentral:rRNA from 1 species